GCUGGCAGCUAGCUCUCUGCAACUCUUACAAGGUCAUCCAAUAAAGCUAAGCAGGGCUGUGCCCGGUCAGUACCUGAAUGGGAAACCACAUGGAAAAGCUAGGUUGCUGCCAGAA
rnacentral:rRNA from 1 species